GUGCUCACUUCAGUAGAACAUAUACUAAAAUUGGAAUGAUACAGAGAAGAUUUGGACAGCCCCUGCACAAGGAUGACACGCAAAUUCAUGAAGCGUUCCAUAUUUAA